CCUACGGGUGGCAGCAGUAGGGAAUAUUGCUCAAUGGGGGAAACCCUGAAGCAGCAACGCCGCAUGGAGGAUGAAGGUUUUCGGAUUGUACACUCCUUUUGUUAGAGAAGAUAAUGACGGUAUCUAACGAAUAAGCACCGGCUAACUCCGUGCCAGCAGCCGCGGUAAUACGGAGGGUGCAAGCGUUACUCGGAAUCACUGGGCGUAAAGGGCGCGUAGGCGGGAUAGCAAGUCAGAUGUGAAAUCCUAUGGCUUAACCAUAGAACUGCAUUUGAAACUGUUAUUCUAGAGUAUGGGAGAGGUAGGUGGAAUUCUUGGUGUAGGGGUAAAAUCCGUAGAGAUCAAGAGGAAUACUCAUUGCGAAGGCGACCUGCUAGAACAUAACUGACGCUGAUGCGCGAAAGCGUGGGGAGCAAACAGGAUUAGAUACCCCGGUAGUC
rnacentral:rRNA from 1 species